UGCUGUUGUUUUACUGAUACCCAAAUGCUGUGCUCUCCACAAUCAGCUGUUGUAAGUGGUGGCAUAUGUGGUUAAGAGAGCAAAGAUAACUUGUUUCUUAAGGGCCAUCCUAAAUAAAAGAUAUUUACAUAUGAUGGAUUUUAUAUUCUGUUUUGCUCUAGUGUAAUGGAUUGGAUGUUCACAAGCUGCUGCUGCAUCCAGGGCACAAGGGAUCAUACAUGGGAUGAGGAGCUGCCGGGCUGCAUGGGUGAUGGCAAGCUGACAGCAUGUGUCCAGGUUGCUUUCUACACUCCUAGACAUACAAUCAGCUACCAGUGUGAAGAAUAGAAAGAAACACGCUCAAAAGGAUACACAGAGAGAGACUUGUGAGAUUUGCAGUGAGAGGUGAUCACCAGAGUUUAUCAGCUGGAAAGCCCUCCUGUGUGAACAUGGGCAAAAGCUCUGAGUCUUCAGUUCCUGGUGGAAAGACCACCUUGUCAUGGUCAGUAUCUGAUGAUACUGAGAGAGCAGAGCUCUCAGGCAGAAGAGGAGCAUGAAAAUGUUCAGGUUAACAGAAUUCCCACAGAUCAGUCAGACACAGUGAUGUGAUGAUGGCUAAACAACUUGGGAAGGAAGAUCCACUGUACUCUCAGAAAAGCUGCUUUGGAAAACAGUAGAGAGAAGAAAGCAAAACUCAUGCAGGCAGUAAAGCCCAGUGGGGGAUGCAGCAUCUGAAGGCAAGGCAGGCGUGGGAGCACAGACCUGGGGAGGAACAAGAGAGGGGAAGCAGAGUGGAAGCAUGCGAAACAUUGAAUGGAACCUGUAUGUGCUCUUCCAGCUACAAAUCACUACACAUUUAGCAAAAGAGAUGGAAUUAC